rnacentral:tRNA from 1 species
GAUCCUGUGGGCGACGGGGACGCGCGCCGCCGCGCUGUGGGUGCGGUCCGUGCGGCAGCGGCCCCGUCCCGCGGACGCUCCGCAGCACGAUCCC